rnacentral:lncRNA from 1 species
GUGGGCUCCUGUGUCUUCUCUAGAACAGGACGCGGCCCAAGGUGAGGGCCCACAGUCUGAGUCACUGUAUCCUCUUAGGUGUCCACUCCCUGGUUUUUCCACCCACGACCUUCACAGUGUCAAAUGGGACUUGGGGGGCCCAGUACGCAGCUUGGGAGAGAUCUGUUCAUGCUGGCCCCAGGGAAAUGGUCACAACCUGCUGGGUCAUAUCACUUCUCUGGUGGCUCCAUGGCCAGCACCUUUUUCCAAUCAGGUCCAACGCUUUGAGGAUGGAGGUCAUGCUCAAGGAGGUCACCCACAAGGACAGACUCUGGGGCUGUGCUGCUGGCUUCCCACAACCAUGUGACCUCAAGUAAAGUAAGUCACCUAACCUGUCUAGAUCUCAGUUCUGUGAUCUAUAAAAUGAGGGUAUGGUCGUCCCUUUCUCAGAGCAAGUAUCAAGAAUAUUAACAAAUCACUGUUUUGUGCCCCGCAGGUAAUAAGCACUCAACACAUGUGAGUGUGGGCUGAGGUGUGGCUCAGUGGUGGGGCACUCGCCUAGUAUGAUUAAGGGCCUGAGUUCAAUUCCCAGCACCACAAGAAAUAGUAAUAACUACAUUUGUAAUGAAUUAUUUGUCACCAGGUUCUGUCUCUAUGACGGGUGUUAGUAGGGUGGUCUACUCUGCCUGGCUUCCUCAGCCCCACCAGCUUGACUGGACCAGUUUUGAGGGAAUGGGUGAUGGUUCUGUGACCCCCACGUCAGUCCUGAACUCCUGCCUGCUGGAUCAUAGGACCCACGUGCGUCCACUCUGCCCUCCUGCACCCACUGUCACUCCUGUGCCCAGGCCUGCGACCUCUUCCUCUCUUCAGAAGUCGUCAGAGAGAAGCGGGCGUUGUCCAACAUCAGGCAAGGACAGCUGGUGCCUCCUGUGCUCCCUGAGGGCCUGGUGCCAGGGGGUGGGGAUCCUGCUGGCCCAGCCGCUCCCCAAGGAAUGGUCCCCCAGCCCCACCCACCCUGGCUUCUUGUGCCUCCCUGGAGACUGCAGACCAGGUUACCCUGCCCAGUGACAGUCCAUUGUCCCCAGUGUGGACCCACACCUCACUUAGAGGUUGGAUGUGAGGCAGGGGAUCAGAGUAGCCCUGGCAGCAGGAGGGGCUGGGGGCUGGUGCUUGCCCACCUUCUGGGCCCCUCAGGCUUCUCUCCUCCACUUCCGCACUCUACCGUUCACUGCCUCCCCCAGUCCCAGAUGUGGAAAGGCGCUCUCUAGGUCUCACCUUUGCUGGAGGACAUGAGAAGGGACAUCAGGGGACCUGGCAAAUCUGUUUUCUCACCAUUUCUUUGUUUUCAGAAAACACCACUUUAUCUUUUUCUUUGUUUCUUUUUUCUUUCUUUCUUUCUUUCUUUUUCUGCUCUUUUGUGCUGGGACUAGGCAAGCACUGUACCACUGAACCACACCUCAAUCCUUUUUUGUUUUUAUUUUGAGAGUCUCACUAAGGCUCCCAGACUGGCCCUGAACGGCUAUCCUCCUGCCCCCCAUCCCGAGCAGCUGGCGUUACAGGGGUGCACUAUGGCGCCCAGCUGAGAUGCCACUUCCUAAUGAGGAGAACGAGUACUGGAGAGGGUGCUGGCCCACAGUGACUGUCACUCUGGGCUGACAACAGUGAAAACUGGAUCAACCUUUUUGGAAGGAAGUUGGACUCUGUAGCUCAAAGCCCUUGAAAUCACGUGGCCAUCGUCCUCUCAGCCCUUCCCCUUGACCUCCCCCUGGAGUCAGGCCUCCCUGCUGGCUCCACCUUCUGGACCAGCUCCAGAUCCCAGCUCUGCGGUCUCCUACUCCUGGCUCCACAGUCCCUCUGCGGGGGUUCUCCCUCCGUUUAGCAUUUAACCCUUAGUUCUUUUACAGAAUUUCGGCUCACACACACCUCUCCCACUUCCUAGUCCAGACAGACUUUGGUAGGACACUCUCUUGCCUUUAUGUCUAAGCACAUGGCUCCUGGGACGUGCCUGUCACUGUGACCAAGAUUAAUUAUCCAUUGAGAAGGGGAAGCAGUCUGAGGGGCUGAGUUCUCCGGCUGACUAAAGAGCAAAGCAUCGGAGAGUUUCCAGGGAAAGGCUCGGUGACUUCUGCAGCUAGUGCUCAGCCUGUGAGGCCAGGGACAGAUGACAGUCCAAACGUCCCCUCCAGACGGGCUGUGCUCAAGGCCCCCUUGGUGUCUCUUCUCUCCUUCUUGGCCACAGGCCACCUAAAUGCAAGUGCUGGGGGAUGAGGAGGGCAGAAAGUGACUCUCUGUCCCCCUCUAAGGGUGCAGGCUGAGUGGAGCAACCUGCCACGCUCCCAUGAAUGUGGCCCCUGGCCAGGACACCAGGUUUCAAGUCCAGAGACCUGGGCUCUUCCCCUCCUGGCUGUGCAAACUUGGGCGAGUCCUUCAGUCUUUGGAGGCUUCCGUUUCCCAUCUGUAACAGACACAAGAAGCCCUGCUCACCCACCCACCCUUCCAGAUCGCAACGUUCCAACAAGGUCAUUGAGGUGGGCGACCUUCAUACUCUGUUCAGCCCAACAAGGUCUCCAGAUUUCCUACCAGAGUCUUCUGGCCUCCAACCUCCUCUCCCAGCCCUGGCUAUGGGGACAAGAGCAGGCUGCUACCCCAGCCUCAGUUCAGUGUGGGACUGCCCGCCACCUGGAGAAGACGGGACCUGCUGACCUGCAGUGCACCUUCCCCACACAGAAGGCGUGACUUCUGUGGCCAUCAGGGGCAACCUGGAUCUGUGAGACCAAGUCCAUAAAAGUCGGAUGCAUCAGCAAGGAGCAUGUGGAGGGGCACAAAGCACAGAAUUAGCGUGCCAGCAGGGGUCCCGGAAGCUCCUGGAAGCAGGAAGGAGGCUCCAAGAGCAGCAGAGCUCCUGGCACUUGCUGAACUACUGAAAGGUGCACAGUGUGAAGCCUGAGGGUGUGGAGAAGAAGGGCAGAGGCGGAGGGACAGGGAAGCCUGUGCCCGGCGCUGACCCCCACAUGGGGAAGGAAGAAGACUUGCAAACCUGUGGCACGUCUGCCCCCAGCUUGGCCGCUCUGCCAUGCCCACUUCCGGCCAUGACAACUUGGGCCCUCUGUGGUGACUCUAACAAUCCCCCGAGGGAUUCUGGACAACCCCUCUGUCGAAGGCAUCUCUGUCCACCCCUCUGGCCUGCUCAGAGCUGUGCUCCCCUCCCAGGCCCCACCCCAGCACAGCCCUGGUCCCUGAGGUCCUGGGAGGGGAGCUGCAGAGAGGCUGUCAGGUCCGGUAGUAUUGUCCAGGCCUUGGAGGCCACUUAUCUAGGCCGCCCACACAGGGAAAUGAGAUAGUCCAGCACCACUUUUCCCACUAAUAUUCUUAUCUUGACUGGAAAGAAGACCGUGUGUAAAGACGUGUGGGUGUGGUCUCCGAGUGUUUUUCCUUCCAUGACUUCUGACCAUAUGGACAUAUGUUUGUGUCAUUUUACGACUUGAACAUGACGAACGAGUGUAUGAAGUGUGUCCAUGUGGGAUUUGUAAGAGAAGUAGAUGGCGAGAGGGGAGACAUGAGGUGGGGACACUCGGGGAGGAGGGAGGAGCAAUCAGAGGGGAAACAUUAAGAAACUGGAAACAAUCAGUUUGGGUGAAAGAACAAAGAAAUGGGUCUUUUCAUCCACUGAUCAGGAAAGCAUUUGUUGACUUUGUCCUUUUGGAAACCCAUUGCUCAGUAUCACAAUCUCAGAAUGUUAAAUGUGUCUUCUUUUCACUUGGUAAUUCUGAUUCCUAUGUUUUCCCAAGAGCAAUUCUUCGUGGGUACAACAAGACAUGUGUAAUCACAGCAGAUGUGUAAAUCACAGCAGAAUUACUCAUAGAAACAAAAAAUGCAAACAGCCUGUUAUGGUUUCCAUAUGAGGUGUCCCCAAAAAGCUCAGGUGUGAGAACAUGAAAGAAAGUUUAGAGGUGAAAUGCUUAGGUUCUGAGACCUUAACCCAUCCACGGACUGCUCUACUAGUGGGGAUUAACUACAGGCAGGUAGGGUGUGGCUGGAGGAGGCGGGUCCUUGGGGCGCACCUUUGGGGUGCAUAUUUUGCCCGGGGAGGAGAAUGUGGGCUCUCGCGUGCUCUCUCUCUCUCUCUCUCUCUCUUCUCCUCUCCUUCCUGGUUUCCUGUCUGGAGGAUCCACCCUCCUCUGCCUCACACCUCAGCCAUAAAGUUCUGCCUUAUCUCAGACCCCGAAGAAUAGAAUCGACCAUCCAUGGACAGAGACCUCUGAAACCAUGAGGAACAAAUAAAUGUUUCCUCCUCUAAAAUUUUCAUUGCAGCAACAAAACAGUUGACUAAAAUUCAACCUAAGAGUCAAUUGACAACGGAGUGGUUCGAGGUUUUAAAGAAUAGUAAAUUAGUGCUCUGGAACACCAUAAGUCAGUGAGAAAGAACGAGAAAAUCUCCAUGGCAAAAUGGAAAGAUUCCCCCAAAUAUUAUGGUUUUUUUUUUUAAAUGCACAAUUUAUAUGAAUUAUGCCAUGUAGUAAGAAGGGAGGGAAAUAGAGAAAGGCCUGGAAGAUGCCCCCAGCAAUAUGUCAGUGGUGGUCACCUCUCAAGAGAGGGCUGGAAUUAAAGGUGGGGAAGAAAUCUUUGGCUUCACACACAGAUCUGGAUUGCUCUACAAUGAAAGUGAGUUUCCAUAUGACUUGUGAAACUAGACACUUUUUGAAAGUCAGUCCCACGAAAACCCACUCACUACAGACCCUGUGAUCUAGACGCAAGACAGGAACGAAAGCAAAGACCCUGCUCUCUGUGGCAAGCCUGGGAUGGAGCCUGAUUCUCGCCCACAUGGUGGGGUGCAGCUGGGCCCUAGAGAAGAUGGGCGUCCCUCGCCCUGUCUAUCUGGGGAAAACGGCAGGGGGGGUAUUUUUACUUCUGUGUGGCUCUAGAAAGUCGCCACCACUACAGAAUCUGAGAGCUUUCCCCAGAGCUAAAUCCAGAAAAAGACUUAAUUUGGGCCGAUCUAUAGUUUUCCUUUAUUUUAUCAAUUGAGAAACAGAGACCUGGAGAAGUAGAGUAUCACACACAAAACAGCAAUGAGUGCAGUCUACCACUGUUUCUUCUCUCUCUGAAUAGGAGGAGAAGAGGGGCGCCCAGGGGCUGACAGCAACAGGAUGCUCACUCCUCCACCCAGGAAGAAUCCCUCCGGAGCUGGAUCCAAACCGACUGUACCAGGGCAGAGGGGUCCAGGGAGCCCAAGGCAGAAUCUGAAGACAAAAGCUCUCAGGGUCCUCUGACCCUCCCUGCAAACCUCCUAGCCUGAGGCAGCACCUCUACACAGCAGCGGGGUGGCAAGGCCAAGCAGAGCUAGUGAAGAAGGUGCAAGCAGAACCCAGGAGGACGGAUCCCUUCAGAAAGAGAUCAAACUUGGCUCUGUGGCUACAAAAGGCAGAACCAGCACAGAGGACCAGCAUGCAACAGCUCUUUCAGGUUCUGAAAAUACAUAACUCUCCCUUUGCCUGGAGGGGGCCUUUCUUUUGCCCUUACAAUACAAUUGUACCCACUUCACCUGGGUAUGAAAUUCCAGGCGCCUGGUAUUUUCCGUGAGCACCCUAUUCCAUUGUCUUCAAACUCUUCACAGCUCUCAAUAGGCCAUUGUCAGGGGCCAUGCCUUGACUUAAUUCAUUUUUUUCCUCUGGUUCCUGAAACAACUGUUCUCCUUGUCUUUGGUGUUCUACAAUGUGUCUGGAAACAGGGUUUUUAACCCUACUUAAAGCUUGUGUUUCUUGAGUCUGAGGAUACUGGUCUUUUGCUAAUUCUGGAAAAUCCUCAGGCAUUGUCUUUUCAAUCAUUGCCUGUCCUCACUCUUUGCACUUCCUCUUUUUUUCUGACAGUUGCUCUGAAAGCAGACUGAGAGAAAGACAGGAGUUAAGCUGGGAGGUGAUUCCAGUGAGCAGGCAGAAGUGGUGGAGAGGGAGGAGGAAGGCAGAAGCCAGCAACAUCCCAUUACUGAGCUGCCUCCACCGUGACUGACUGCAGACACGUCUUAGAGGAAGUUGGUAGAGGAUGCCACAGAUGGUCUCACCCAGGGACAACUGAGCUGAUGCACUUAUCUGCUGACUCUCACCUCUCAUCAAGUGAAGGCUGCUGCCAGAGGCACCCUUUGAAUUUAUGAAUUGUCUGCAGAAGCUGGGGGGCUCCUGCAGAGCCCAAAGCCAGAAGAACUGAGAGACCUGGGGACAUGUGGCUGAGGAGGGACAUUGGCCUCAUGCAUGACCACGGCUGCACUGGAUCAAGUGAGUCCCAGGAAUUAGCAGGGGUCAUCCCUGCCUUGUCCGUCAGGUUGGCGGAAGCUUGGCACUCUACUUCAGCCUCCUUGUGUGUCCCGACUCCCCUGUGCCCUUAGCCUCAGGGCGGCAUCUUGGGUCUGGGUGCUCAUUUGCUAAUUUUCCCAUUAGCUAUAUCGCAACAGCUCCUCUCAGAGUGUCUAGUUCUUUCACCUGUCACACAUUAUUCUCCUUGAGACUGUGCCAUUGCCCUCUCGCUCGGUGGCAGUCCUGCUAUCCAUCAUGUCUGCUGACAGUCAGGUAGGCUAUUUCCCCAGGUGUUUUGCCACUGAUGACAUGAACGUAUUUGCAAUGAGCGUGUAUCCCACCACUGCCCGUGUUGCCCUAGUGUAGGAAUCCCAUGCACUUUGGGAAGAGGAUUAUUCCUCCAUGCACUUGGAUAUUAGACUUUGCCAGACACGGCAGGAGUAUCACAAGCUUGGGACCAAUUUUUUUCUAUUGUGUUAAAAUAUACAUAGUAUAAAAUCAACUCUUCAGUGACAGUCCAGAGUGAAAGCCCAACAAACGGCCCUUAGAGUUGAUGUUUAGCAUAUUCACACUGUGGUAGGACCAUCACCACCAUCCAUCUGCAGAACUUUGCCAACAUCACCCCAACUGAACCUGCACCCACGGAACAGAACUCCGGCUCCAUCCUGCCCCAGCCCCUGACCACUGAUAACCGCUGUUCUACCCUCUGUCCUUAUGAAUUUGACAGAUGGGUUUUCACAAAAGUGUUUGUCUUUUUGCGACUGGCUUUUUCCACAUAGGAGCAAU